AUUGAACGCUGGCGGCAGGCCUAACACAUGCACGUAGAGCGGAGCGGCGGACGGGUGAGGAAUGUAUGGGGAUCUGCCCGAUAGAGGGGGAUAACUACUGGAAACGGUGGCUAAUACCGCAUACUAUCGGAUGAACCCAUAUGGGAUUAGCUAGUAGGUGGGGUAACGGCCUACCAAGGCGACGAUCCGUAACUGGUCUGAGAGGAUGAUCAGUCACACUGGAACGGAGACACGGUCCAGAUUUCUACGGGAGGCAGCAGGGGGGAAUAUUGGAAAAUGGGCGAAAGCCUGAUCCAGCCAUGCCGCGUGUGUGAAGAAGGUCUUCGUAUUGUAAAGCACUUUAAGUUGGGAGGCGUUACCAACAGAAUAAGCACCGGCUAACUUCGUGACAGCCGCCGCGGUAAUAC
rnacentral:rRNA from 1 species